UAAGCAGAGUCUCAAACUGUCGCCCUGGGUAGAGUGCCAUAACAUCACAGCUCACAGGAACCUCAAACUCUUGGACUUAAGCAAUUCUCUUGCCUCAGCCUCCCAAAUAGCUGGAACUACAAGUGCCUACCACAAGGCCCUGCUAUUGUGUUGUUGUUGUUGCAGUUGUCAUUGUUGUUUUAGCUGGCCCAGGCUGUGUUCGAACCCGCCAGCCUUAGUGUAUGUGGCCAGCGUCCUACCCACUAAGCUAUGGGCGCCACCUUGUGGAUGAUUUUUUAGAUAAUAUUCAUCAUAAUUCUACAAUUAUGAAGAAAUCUAAAUAAAAAAUUGUGUCCACAGAAAUAAUCUUUUUGGAUAAAAUACUUACCAAACAUCACAGAUGUAGCCCUUUUGAUAUUAUUUUCAACCAAAUGAUGUUAGGGCAGUAUAGUACUUCAGGGGAGUAGGCGGAUUUUGGAACAAUGCCCUCUGGGGUUCAAAUCUAGCUGCCACUCACCAGCUGGGAGAUUACUUAACCAGCAUGGAUUAUUUCAUCUAUCAGCCUUAUCGUCCACUUUAAAUUAAGGAUAAUGUUUUCCAUUUUAUAGAGCUUUUGUCAGGAUUAAAUAAGAUUGUGGUGUAUGUAAGAAUCUAACCCCCUGUAGGUAUCUAGAAUGUUUUCCCACCCCACUGAGCUUGUUGAGCCCAGGGUCUUUGUUGCAUGUUUGUAUCUCCGUUCUCAGCAACAGCAUCAGUGCUGGCACACUCCGCUCACUUGAUAAGCAUUUGCUAGAUAAAAGGGAACUCACAGAAACAAGUUUAAAUAAAAGCUGUUCAGGAAAUAGAACACGGGUACCUACAGAUGCACACACACAGCACAUGUGCUUUCUAUUUCUUUGAUUCUCCAGUCUUAAAUUUACAUCCUAGAUUAUGCAUAGUGCAUUCAAAAUAAAAAUUCAGGUUAUUCAUUAAGAAUUUACUACUACAUUAAAAAAAUAAGAAAACGAGCCAUAAACUUGGAGAAAAUAGUUGCAAAUUACAUGCCUGAUAAGGCUCUACAUUCUGAAUAUACAUGAAUAAAGAACUCUCAAAGCUCAAUAAUUCAAAAAAAAUAGCAAGUCAAUAAAAAAUGGGCAGAGAUUUGAACAGACACUUAUCAGAGAAGAUAAUAUCAAAGCCAUAUAAGCACACUAAAAGAUGUUCAACAUCAUUACUUAUUAGGAAUGCAAACGAAAAGCACAAUGAGACUAGUUCACACCUACUAGAAUGGCUAAAACCAAAAAACCUGACAAUACCAAGUGCUGGUAGAAUGUGGAACAACUGAACUCUUCUACAUUGCUGGUCAAAAUGCAAAACGGCUGCACCACUCUGAAAAACAGCAUACAAUUGGGCGAUCUCACUCCUAAGUAUUUAUUUACUCAGAAGAAAUGAAAACAAAUGUUCGUACAAAAUCCUGUAUGAGAAUAUUUAUAAUAGCUUUAUUCAUAGCAACCCUAAACUGGAAACAAUCCAGAUGUCCUUCAACAUUCUACGUGAAUAAAUAGUUACAUUCAUGCAAAGGAAUACCACUCAA